UCCUCCGGUCUCUCUCAUCAUCCGUCCCGGCAGAACUCGCCACUUUAUCAAUGACUCUCUGUCUCUGAGCUGUGAGGGACAGAAUGACUCUACUGGAUGGAGAGUGAGACGAUACACACACAGUGGGGAGUUGUUAGAUUGUACAUCAGUCUGGGUAUCAGUUACAGGAUAUACAUGCAACAUCAGCUCUCUCUCCACAUCUCACACUGGAGUGUACUGGUGCCAGUCUGGAUCUGGAGGAAGGAGCCAUCCGCUUAACAUCACAGUGCACAGUCUGUCCAGUUCAGAAGCUCCAUUCUCAGUCCUCUGUCUGCUCAGUUGUCUGGUGGCAGCGUCUCCAUAUCUGUUAGCGUCCAUCAUACUGGGGGUGAAAUGCUACAGAGCUCGAGCUGAACCUGAUGAGGUGAACAGAACGUAAGAACUGAUAGAAGAGGAACAUCGUACUGAGAGCUGAAUUCCAGGUUUUCAUGUUAGAGUUCUAAUCCUGUGUGCUUUUAGGACCCUGUUUGAGACCCCCAGUUCCCCAGACGUUCAGCAGCUUCAUUUUCACUCUCUGUCAGUAAAUGCAGUACUAGUUAUGGGGCAGAGGUGGCACUGUUCAGCUACAGACUGAUUGAGUCUUUAAACUCACAUGAGUUUAAUAUAAUAUAAUUUUAAAAUAUAUUUAAAAUUCAUCAGAUUACUAUUGAUCACAAAUGACAUACAGAGAUUGUUAC